CAGCAAGCAAGUUUUAAAAAACAUUCAGGCUUAUGGUUUGUUUUCAGCAGCAAGCUUCACUUAAUGCUUUGCUGAAACAGAGUUCAAAGUGCACAGAGCACCAGACUUGUCACCAAGUCAUUUGUUAGAAUGAGUUGUGUAAGGAUACCCGAUAACCAGGAGGGAGGGAGGAGUUACACAACAUGCAGAUUGUCAGGAGCUGGUCAAAUACAGAUGAUUCAUUUGCACUUUCCUUGUAAAGGAAGUUUUUUUCUGCUUGUGAAAUCAUGACACAUUUCAUGUAAAACGAAAACAUCUACAUAAAAAAGGAGAAGAAGACUCAUCGUUUCCUUCUUGAUCUCAGAUGUGGUGUCAGUAAAAUAACCUUCACUGCCUUCCAGCAGCACACAGAAGGACCCACAACAUACUAUAUAUGUUUGGCAGCAGCAGGCAGAAAGAAAAACAUUCAGGAUAUAUUUAGUGACCGUGAUAUAAAUACGUCAUCAGACAGUAUCGUCUUUCCAUGACGGUCCAGAAAGCUUAGAUGGACUGGCAGCUGAAGCAGAAAAACAACAAAAACAGUGGUACAGUUGUAGAAAUGCAGAGGACAUAAAUCAAGAGAUGGUGAAGUUUGAUGCUGGUGUGAAAGUGAUGUUUUUUUGGAGAGGAUGUAGACGGACUGCUAACAAAAAUGCACACUCGGAUUUAAGCUGGAGAUCAUACUGCAUUUUGAAGACUUUCUAAAUGACCUAGAUCUAUGACUUUACGCCAAACAUCUAUGUGGUCUAGGCAAAAACAGCUCGAAGACCUUUGAGGUGUCUUUGAAAACGGUCUGGGGUCUCUUUCUUUGGCCUUCAGUUCAAAUGCAGACAGAUGUCUGGUUUGUAUUUUAGCUUCUCUUUUCUUUCAAGUUCAUUUCAUUUUACUGUCCUUUCAUAAAGCCACUGUAAUUUAUUUCCCCCCUCUUUAACUUUCCAUUUAGUCACAUUUUGUCAAGUUAGUCUGAAAGCGUUGCUGGUCUCUCACUAACCAGAUUCCACCACACGAUUUCAGAGGGGAAUUUCCAAAGUUAGUCUUUUUGGAACAUAAUUCCCUAGUUGUAUAAUUAUUCUGCUGCAGACGUUCAGGAAGGAAACAAAGGGUGGAGGGUGGGGGUAGAUUUUAUACUGGAAAUACUGGAAAAACAAUAACUUUGGAAGAAUUUCACAUAAUUUCAAACACGAGCUCCUAGAAGUUUGAAUUUUCUUCGAAUAAACUUUACAGUAUAUUGUACACAAAUGCCAGCAGACUUGAUCCACAAUUUUUGCCUUGCAGGAAAAGAAUCUUUGUGGGGUCUCUAUGAGAAAAAACAAUUAUUACAGCAACCGAAAAUUGCUCCAAUAUAGACUUACUAGCCACUUCAAGUACACCUUGCUAGUACUGGGCUGCAAACCUGUUUUGCCUUCUGAAGUGUCUUCAUUCUUCCUUCUUGCACUGCAGGAAGCAGGCAUAAGAAGAUGUGCACACUGUGGUCAUAAAGGGAUGGACAAGAGAAGCAACAACACGCAGGCAGGCUGUGGUGUUUAAAUGAUGCCCAGUUGGUAUAUCCUCCACACCAUUACAUCACCACCAGACCAUUCUCUGUAAAGUCAAAAGACGACUAUGUGGGAAAAUCCCAGCAGAUCAGCAGUACUCAGACCAGCUCGUCUGACAACAACAACAUUCAAAGUCAUGUAAAUCACCUUUCUUAUAAUGCUGAGGAUCAGUUUGAACUUCACUCGGUCAUCUGAACCACGUCUACACAUACAGACCAUGAUGUAGUUGAAUGUUGAAUGUGAUUAUUCCUUUAAUGUAGAAAUAUCCUGUUGUGUAAUUAGGAAGUGAGCACAAAGGUUGGGAGUUCACUUUUGUCUCUUCUUUUUUAAAUCUGUGGGUGAGUAGAUGGUAAAUAUUUGUCUCUCUCCCUCUCUCCUCUUCUCCCCCAUAUAUGUAAUUUAAAAUCAUCACAUACAUUGACAAUGUAUGUGAUUCUGUUUGUUUUUGGUUUGUUUUGUUUUGUGCUAAUAAUGAAUAAGAACUGUUGAAUAUCAAAAAAAAGAGAGAAAUAUCCUGUUGUAACAUAUUUCUUGUGUUCACGGAAAAUCCUUUGUGUUACACUGUGAUACAAGUUUAGGAGUGUGUUGUUUUUUUUGCUGCGGAUCACAGUUUAACAAUGAGUGACCUAGUUAGUUCCUGGCGAUUUGUCAUCCAGGCCACACAUCUAGUGGGAGAUCUGAUGCUUCUGUUACUUCUGCUUUAACGUGAUUAGAACAAACUGUUUUCAGUCACUUUGAAUAAAAAGGUUUCAGUGAGGUUUCA